rnacentral:rRNA from 1 species
AGGAUGAACGCUGGCGGCGUGCCUAAUACAUGCAAGUCGAGCGGUAACAGGUCUAGUUUACUAGAUGCUGACGAGCGGCGGACGGCUGAGUAACACGUAGGAACGUACCCCAAAGUGAGGGAUAACUGCUCGAAAGAGUAGCUAAUACCGCAUGUGAUCUAAGGAUUAAAGCUUCGGCGCUUUGGGAACGGCCUGCGUUCGAUUAGCUUGUUGGUGAGGUAAAAGCUCACCAAGGCGACGAUCGAUAGCUGGUCUGAGAGGAUGAUCAGCCAGACUGGGACUGAGACACGGCCCAGACUCCUACGGGAGGCAGCAGUAGGGAAUUUCACAAUGGGCGAAAGCCUGAUGGAGCAACGCCGCGUGCAGGAUGAAGGCCUUAGGGUCGUAAACUGCUUUAUAUAUGACGAUUAUGACGGUAGCAUAUAGAAUAAGGAUCGGCUAACUCCGCGCCAGCAGCCGAC